rnacentral:rRNA from 1 species
CAGCCGCCGCGGGAAUACGAAGGGUGCAAGCGUUAAUCGGAAUUACUGGGCGUAAAGCGUGCGUAGGCGGUUUGUUAAGUCUGUUGUGAAAUCCCCGGGCUCAACCUGGGAAUGGCAAUGGAUACUGGCAAGCUAGAGUGUGUCAGAGGAUGGUGGAAUUCCCGGUGUAGCGGUGAAAUGCGUAGAGAUCGGGAGGAACAUCAGUGGCGAAGGCGGCCAUCUGGGACAACACUGACGCUGAAGCACGAAAGCGUGGGGAGCAAACAGGAUUAGAUACCCCUGUAGUCCCUGUCUCUUAUAC